rnacentral:misc_RNA from 1 species
GAUGAAGAACGUAGCGAAAUGCGAUACGUAAUGUGAAUUGCAGAAUUCAGCGAACCAUCGAAUCUUUGAACGCACAUUGCGCCCGCCAGUAUUCUGGCGGGCAUGCCUGUCCGAGCGUCAUUUCCCCCCUCACGCGCCCCGUUGCGCGCUGGUGUUGGGGCUCCUCCGCCUGGCGGAGGGCCCCGAAAGCGAGUGGCGGGCCCGGCUGGUUGGCUCCGAGCGCAGUACCGAACGCAAGUUCUCCCCUCGCUCAGACGCCCCGCCGGCGCCCUGCCGUCAAAACGCGCAUGACGUGCAACUCUUUUUACAAGGUUGACCUCGGAUCAGGUAGGACUACCCGCUGAACUUAAGCAUAUCAACAAGCGGAGGA